rnacentral:ribozyme from 13 species
UUUUUUUUUUAUUUUUUUUUUUUUUUUUUUUUUUCUC